GUGAAUUUUGCAAAUCGAUAGCAAUUUUGCACAGAUUACAUGAGUCACUGAAUAUUGUUGGCAAACUUGUCCAUACAUAGCUCUUUUUAACUAAGGAAGGAAUAUUAUGGCUUCCAAACUCUUUCUAACUGAGGAAGGAAUAUUAUGGCUUCUCAUUAGCCUAUCAAUUAUAUAUGUAACUAUUGAACAAUGAUGGAGCAAUCAUUUUGUUAGUACUAUGUUAUGAUUUCUCUACAACAUGUUCGUGAUUCAGCUUAUAUGAAAAUAGCCCAUGUACAAAGUGUCCUUACUAUUUUUCUUUUCACUACUUAUGUCUUUGAUAGUUAUAUGGUAAUGCAUAUUUUUAUGCAUGUUACAUGUACAAAUGCUUUACAGUUAUAUUUGAGUUGCCUAACUCAUUUGUUUAA